CUUGCACGCUGGCGGCAUGCCUUACACAUGCAAGUCGAACGGCAGCGCGGACUUCGGUCUGGCGGCGAGUGGCGAACGGGUGAGUAAUACAUCGGAACGUACCCUGUUGUGGGGGAUAACUAGUCGAAAGAUUAGCUAAUACCGCAUACGACCUGAGGGUGAAAGUGGGGGACCGCAAGGCCUCACGCAGCAGGAGCGGCCGAUGUCUGAUUAGCUAGUUGGUGGGGUAAAGGCCCACCAAGGCGACGAUCAGUAGCUAGUCUGAGAGGACGAUCAGCCACACUGGGACUGAGACACGGCCCAGACUCCUACGGGAGGCAGCAGUGGGGAAUUUUGGACAAUGGGGGCAACCCUGAUCCAGCAAUGCCGCGUGUGUGAAGAAGGCCUUCGGGUUGUAAAGCACUUUUGUCCGGAAAGAAAUCGCGCUGGUUAAUACCUGGCGUGGAUGACGGUACCGGAAGAAUAAGCACCGGCUAACUACGUG
rnacentral:rRNA from 1 species